rnacentral:rRNA from 1 species
GACGAACGCUGGCGGCGUGCUUAACACAUGCAAGUCGAGCGGUAAGGCCCUUUCGGGGGUACGACGAGCGGCGAACGGGUGAGUAACACGUGGGUGACCUGCCCUCAGCUCUGGGAUAAGCCUGGGAAACGUAGGGUCUAAUACUGGAUAUGACUCCACGGUGCAUGUCGGUGGGGUGGAAAGCCUUGUGCGGCUGAGGAUGGGCCCGCGGCCUAUCAGCUUGUUGGGUGGGGUGAGGCCUACCAAGGCGACGACGGGUAGCCGGCCUGAGAGGGCGACCGGCCACACUGGGACUGAGACACGGCCCAGACUCCUACGGGAGGCAGCAGUGGGGAAUCUUGCGCAAUGGGCGAAAGCCUGACGCAGCGACGCCGCGUGAGGGAUGACGGCCU